rnacentral:rRNA from 1 species
UGGAGCAUGUGGCUUAAUUUGACUCAACGCGGGAAAUCUUACCGGGUCCGGACACACUGAGGAUUGACAGACAUUUAUAUGCGCAAGUAUAUAUUUAAAGAUGCUAGUUCUUUCAUGAUUAUGUGAUAGGUGGUGCAUGGCCGUUCUUAGUUCGUGGAGUGAUCUGUCUGCUUAAUUGCGUUUCAUAUUAUUAUUAAUAUUCCAUAUAUUUAUUAUAUGCGUCUAUUAUACUUUGAAAGCAACGAACGUGACCGUAGCCUUUUAUUAUAUACGCUACACGUAUAUUAAUUAAAGGGACCGCUGUAUCUUUCUUUAAACCAGAGUAAGGUUACGGCAAUAACAGGUCUGUGAUGCCCUUCGAUGUUCCGGGCUGCACACGUGCUACAAUGAUUAUUUCAUUAAGUAUCUACUGUGCAAUAAUAUAUUAUUAUUAUUCAAAACCUACUCUGAGAAUGAGCGGGUAAUCAAUUAGAAGUAAUGAUUUCCAAAUUUAUACACUCAUGUACCGUAUAUAUUAUCCCAUUACACAUUAUGUGUUAUGCGUGUAUAAUAUUGUACGCUGUACGUAUAUUUAUUAAUUCAUGGUGGGGAUAGACUAUUGUUAAUUGUUGGUCUCGGUCUUAACUAGGAAUACCUUGUACGGGUCAUUGGUUCAACAGACCACCCGGAAUACGUCCCUGCCCUUUGUACACACCGCCCGUCGCUCUUACCGAUGAACUUCGCUAUGAAUCUAUUGGACUGUACCAUUGUGGUAUGGAAAGAUAUAUGAAUAGUGUGGUUUAAAGGAAAGAGAAGUCGUAACAAGGCA